CCCACCAUGUCAAAGUUGGCAACUCUUACUGGUCAUACAUACAGAGUACUUUAUCUUGCCAUCUCACCAGAUGGACAGACCAUUGUCACGGGAGCAGGGGAUGAAACUCUACGGUUUUGGAAUGUGUUCCCUUCCCCUAAAUCUCAGAACACUGACAGUGAAAUUGGAGCAUCAUCUCUAGGAAGAACUACAAUCCGGUAAUUAAUGGAGACUUAAAAGAAUCUGUGGCUGUUUCAUCGGAGNNNNNNNNNNNNCGUAGACAUGUCUUCAGCUCGAAGAUUAUUCUACAAAAUGGAGCCUCAUCAGAUUGAUUUUCUUGAACCAACCCUUGACCAGCGCGGAAAUUUGCAGGGACCUGAAAGGGCUGAGCGUGUGAAUGGAUGUAAUGAUAUUUCUAGUGGUUCCUGCAAAUUAUUAAUUUUGUGCUGGUCCCUUUGUCCCUUGAUUUAUAAUGUGUAUAGUGGGAGGUGUUUUCUUUGUAUCAUUACGAAAUGCUAACAUUUUGGUCAGCAAGUCUUCAUAGUUUUGUAAAUAAAACGGCAUUUGUAUUAUUGUUCUAUCCAUGAGUAAAAGAUCUGUAGUAUUCGGG
rnacentral:misc_RNA from 1 species